UAAAUUUGUAUAUAGCUUUAAUUAUUUAUUAUUAUAUUUUAAUUAAAAUAAUUUUUUUAUUAGUAAUUUUUAUUGAAAUUUUUAUUUUGGCUAUAGUUUAUAUUACUGUAAAGGAUAUUUAUUAUUUAAUUACAAGCAAACUUAUUUUGUUGUACCUUUUGUAUCAGGGUUUAUUAAUUUUAAAUUAAUUAUUUUAAUUUUCCCGAAGUUAAAAGAGAUACAUUUUUAUGAAAGUUUACGUUUUAUAGUAAUUUUUAAUUUUAAUGUAGAGGUUAUAUGCUAUUCGAUUUUAAAUAUCUGGUUAUUUAAUAAAUUAAUUUAAUUAAGGCUAUUACUUUGUUAAUUUAUAAAUUUAUUUUUUUUAAUAAUAAUAGCUAAAAUUAUAGGGGAUAAGCUCUAUAAUUUCUUUAUAAUCAUUUUUAUGUUAAGGUUUUGUAGGCUUGACAACAGCCAUCAUUUAUUUCGUUAUAGUUAAUUCUUGAUUUUAUUUAAUUUAUUUAUGAUUUAAUUUUUUAUUAAAUAUUUUAUGUUAAUAAUUUUGUUAAAGUUAUAAUGAUAAAAUUAGUAGUUUUGUAUAUUCAAGUACAGUAAUUCGGCAAAUUUAAUCUCCGCCUGUUUAACAAAAACAUGUCUUAUAGAAAAUAAUUUUAAGUCUAAUCUGCCCGGUGAUUUAUUAAACGGCCGCAGUAUUUUGACUGUGCGAAGGUAGCAUAAUCAUUUGUCUCUUAAUUGGAGGCUUGUAUGAAUGAUUGGACGAGGGAUUUACUUUCUUUACUUGAUUUUUAUGAAUUUGAUUUUUGAGUUAAAAAGCUUAAAUUUUUUUGCAAGACGAGAAGACCCUGUAGAAUUUAAUUAAUUAUUAAAUAUUUUUUAAUUAGUUAAUUAAUGUUAGGUAUUUAAUUAUUAAUUUUGUUGGGGCGACAGUGAAAUUUAAAUAACUUUCAUUUUCAUUUUUCAUUGAUUUAUGUAUUUUUUGAUCCUUUAUUAUGGAUUACAAGAUUAAAUUACCUCAGGGAUAACAGCGUAAUUUUUCCGGAGAGUUCUUAUCGAUGGAAUAAGUUUGCGACCUCGAUGUUGGAUUAAAGUGAGUUUUUGGUGUAGUAGCUAUAAAACUGAGUCUGUUCGACUUUUAAAUCUUUACAUGAUCUGAGUUCAGACCGGCGUGAGCCAGGUUGGUUUCUAUCUGCAAUUAAAUAUUAUAUCUUAGUACGAAAGGACCAGAUAUAAGUAAAAUUUAUUUUUGUUUGAAUAUUAUUA
rnacentral:rRNA from 1 species